rnacentral:rRNA from 1 species
GAUGAACGCUGGCGGUAUGCUUAACACAUGCAAGUCGAACGGACUCUCCGGAGUUAGUGGCGGACGGGUGAGUAACGCGUGAGAAUCUGGCUUUGGGUUCGGGACAACCACUGGAAACGGUGGCUAAUACCGGAUGUGCCGAGAGGUAAAAGAGAAAUUGCCUGAAGAUGAGCUCGCGUCUGAUUAGCUAGUUGGUGAGGUAAAGGCUCACCAAGGCAGCGAUCAGUAGCUGGUCUGAGAGGAUGACCAGCCACACUGGGACUGAGACACGGCCCAGACUCCUACGGGAGGCAGCAGUGGGGAAUUUUCCGCAAUGGGCGAAAGCCUGACGGAGCAAUACCGCGUGAGGGAAGAAGGCUCUUGGGUUGUAAACCUCUUUUCUUAGGGAAGAACAAAAUGACGGUACCUAAGGAAUCAGCAUCGGCUAACUCCGUG